CCAACAUUCCCUUAUAUCUGCAGCCAUGUUAUAACAGAGAAUUUCUUGCAUAGUCGAACACCAUCACAAACAUCAAUUUACAGCAACUCACUCCCACCCAUCAUCUGGAGAAAUCAACUUAUUUUCAUAAGAGGUUGAGCUGUGAUGGGCGAUGAAGUGUUGUUGCUGAGUGGAGUUUUUGUCGAACUUAAAGUAGGCUCAGAAAGGAUACAUGUCUUCAUACAUGUAUCUCAGUUAUGCAUUCCGCUGUAAACACUGAUUAUUUCAGUUACGCCUUCCGUUGCAAACUCUGAUAAUGUUUUAGCCAAGCCCCUAACGAUGCCUUUUUCCUUUUAAGGAAUAUAACGCGAAUACAAGUUCUUUGAGUACCCUUUUUAUGCGAACUAUGCCUUUUUCCUUUUUAA